rnacentral:rRNA from 1 species
UACGUAGGGGGCAAGCGUUGUCCGGAUUUAUUGGGCGUAAAGAGCGUGUAGGCGGUUUGGUAGGUCCGCUGUGAAAACUCGAGGCUCAACCUCGAGACGCCGGUGGAAACCAUCAGGCUAGAGUCCGGAAGAGGAGAGUGGAAUUCCUGGUGUAGCGGUGAAAUGCGCAGAUAUCAGGAAGAACACCCGUGGCGAAGGCGGCCUUCUGGACGAUGACUGACGCUGAGACGCGAAAGCGUGGGGAGCAAACAGG